rnacentral:tRNA from 1 species
AAUUUAAGUUACAUUUGACUAUUUGUUUUCAAAACAAACAGGAACUUAAUAAGUUAAUUGCUG